UACAGAGGGGGCAAGCGUUGUUCGGAAUUACUGGGCGUAAAGGGCGCGUAGGCGGCCUGUUAAGUCGAACGUGAAAUCCCCGGGCUCAACCCGGGAACUGGCGUCCGAUACUGGCAGGCUUGAAUCCGGGAGAGGGAUGCGGAAUUCCAGGUGUAGCGGUGAAAUGCGUAGAUAUCUGGAGGAACACCGGUGGCGGAAGGCAGCGAUCCUGGACCGGG
rnacentral:rRNA from 1 species